UUGAAUUACGCUCAUCAUGCGUUUCUAGGGAAGAUUCAGCUGACCAAAUAUGGGGAAAGCAUCAGCAAAAUUUCUUUUGACGAGCUAAGUAAGUCAUCAGUUUAUUUAGGUAAAAAAAAAGAGACUAUCUUCUGCAAUAUUUGUUUGUUUUUGUAAUUUGUUGGAGCAAUAAUCAAUAGAAUAAUUAUAUGAGAGAAUAAUUUGGUCAUCUUUCUGGUUUUGUAUACAGGUGAUGAUUACAUGACGGUGCAGAGGAAAAGAAACAAAUCUUUGAGUUCCAAUACUUCUGCCAAUUCGUGUCAAUGUAUUUGAGGUACUUGCUCAAUAACAUAAAAGCAUAAAAGUUGACUGAACAGAGUUGUUCAACUAAUUGUAAACAACAAAAAGUUGACUAAAAACAGAGUAAAUAAGGAACACACAAUAUACAAUAACAGAAAUCUAAACCAAUCCAUAGUUGGACAUUGUUUGAUUGCUUUCUCCUCAAACUUUUUUCAUGUGCAGAGGUUGUAAGUUGACUUUCUUGGAGUUCUUCUGGUUGCUUUGAUUUUCUUCUUCGAGAUUCUUCAGGUAGGUUCUAAAUGCCUACACAAACAAAAACUUAUUUUUUUGUCAACAACAGAAAUAAUUAAAUGCUUAAGUUUCAUUGCCAAAAGUUUAUUCUAAUAUUUUUGUCUUUCAAUGUUUUGCAAACAAAUUUGUUUAAAAGUCAGAAC
rnacentral:lncRNA from 1 species